UACGGAGGGUGCAAGCGUUAUCCGGAUUCACUGGGUUUAAAGGGUGCGUAGGCGGGUUGGUAAGCCCGUGGUGAAAUCUCCGAGCUUAACUCGGAAACUGCCGUGGAUACUAUCAAUCUUGAAUAUCGUGGAGGUAAGCGGAAUAUGUCAUGUAGCGGUGAAAUGCUUAGAUAUGACAUAGAACACCAAUUGCGUAGGCAGCUUACUACACGAUCAUUGACGCUGAGGCACGAAAGCGUGGGGAGCAAACAGG
rnacentral:rRNA from 1 species